rnacentral:rRNA from 1 species
AUUGAACGCUGGCGGCAGGCCUAACACAUGCAAGUCGAACGAGUGGCGGACGGGUGAGUAAUGUCUGGGAAACUGCCCGAUGGAGGGGGAUAACUACUGGACACAGUAGCUAAUACCGCAUACCAUCGGAUGUGCCCAGAUGGGAUUAGCUAGUGGGUGGGGUAACGGCUCACCCAGGCGACGAUCCCUAGCUGGUCUGAGAGGAUGACCAGCCACACUGGAACUGAGACACGGUCCAGACUCCUACGGGAGGCAGCAGUGGGGAAUAUUGGACAAUGGGCGCAAGCCUGAUGCAGCCAUGCCGCGUGUAUGAAGAAGGCCUUCGGGUUGUAAAGUACUUUCAGCUAGGAGGCGUUACUCACAGAAGAAGCAUCGGCUAACUCCGUGCCAGCAGCCGCGGUAAUAC